rnacentral:rRNA from 1 species
UACGGGGGGAGCAAGCGUUGUUCGGAUUUACUGGGCGUAAAGGGCGCGUAGGCGGCCCGAUAAGUCCGCUGUGAAAGUCAAGGGCUCAACCCUUGAAUGCCGGUGGAUACUGUCGGGCUAGAGUCCGGAAGAGGCGAGUGGAAUUCCUGGUGUAGCGGUGAAAUGCGCAGAUAUCAGGAGGAACACCAAUUGCGAAGGCAGCUCGCUGGGACGUAACUGACGCUGAGACGCGAAAGCGUGGGGAGCAAACAGG